CAUUUUCCCGCAGGUCUCCACAUCCAUGAGCCUCUUGGAUCGUUGUCAUAUCACACUAACCUCGAUUCUCCACUUCUCUCCCGCUUAAGCUCUCUUCAUUGUGGCGCCAUUUCUUUCACUUUGAUGCUGGCAACUGGAUCGAUCAGCAUUCAAAUAAAAAUCCAGAGUAGCAAGAUCGUGAUCUCGAUGGUGCCUUCGGCUCCCUCGAAUCCCACGCUGUCUUGCUUAGUUAUGAGGCAUACAUAGAUCUAAUAGAGGCCUUUUGAGGGGAAUCUACUCAAUCCGAGCUCGUUCGAGCUUCAGCUGUAUGGAUUCCUCCAAGCGACCUCGUAAAUUUUUUCAUAUAUGCUUAUGUUUUUGUCUUUCGAAUUCUAGAAUGCUUAAUCUGCCUCUCGAAUAACCGAAGCUUGGUUUUUGUAUUCCAUUUUUGGUUCAGACAGUGGCAAACAUAAAGAGAUGGCGAUGUGUCUUUUAUGAGACCGUGCUAUCCCUGAAUCCUUUGAGGGAGAGGAAAUCUAUUUUUAAGUGUUCCUUUCUUAGUUGGCUUCCGAUAUGCAUCGAUUUUUCUUUUAUGCCGUUGGAAGGCGAGUUCCACGUUUUCAAUUUUUUGUUUUUCAAAAUUGUUUUGUUGUUCACUUCAAGGGUAUUUUUUGAGUAAAAAAAAAUAUUUUGAUCUUCCUUCUUCUUGAGCAUACUUUCAUAUCUCUCGGUCCACUUAGUUCCUGACUUAUUUCUAACGUACAUACCGCCAAAGAACAUUCAAAAAAUAUAUUUAUUUUUUUCAUAAUCAGUAAUUUAAUAUUUGUACUCCCUAGAUACGCAUGCUCGUAGCCUCUAAAGAUGGCGUGAUUGUGGCUUUUGAUAUAUGCAUUAACUUUCGAGUGGUCUUUUAGGGUAUGUUUGAGGUAGCUGCAUUUAAUCAAUAAUCUGUUUAUAAGUUGUAGAUAAGUUGUAGAUAAACAACUUAUCCGGAUAAGUUGGCUGACUGUUUGGUUUGUGCUAUUGAAAAACAGCUCUUUUGCACAUGUUUCUAGAUAAAUGACUAUUUCGGUUUUGAGCGGUCAUGUUAUUUUCAUCAGAGCUAUUAUAACAAUAUAUUUAAUACUUGCGAAGUAAAAAAUCACUUCAGAAUAAUAUAAAAAAAGAUACACACUCCAAUUAACUGUGAGUACUAAGAUAACUAAAACAGAGAAAAAAAUUAUUAAAAUUACAAUUAGAAACAUGAUGGAACAUUCACACACAUACGACUUAAUUCUUAUAUAUGCAUUUGUAGUACUUAAUCUUUGAAAUUUCCAUACAUACUACUGAAAUCUUUAACCUCUCAAUAAAAAUAUCACAACUGCUGAUUUUUUAUAAGUGAAAUAAAUUUCUUCAUGUGUGAUUUUUCUGUUAAGGUUUCUUUUCCCCAACUUGCCUAACCAUUCAUCUCCGUCCGUCUUUGCGAACAACUAUAAGAACAAGUUGCCCCACUUUACUCCCUUCCUUUAUGUUUUUGUCUAGGAGCCGAGGCCAAUAAAGGUUUAUGAAAACAUCCAAACAGCAAGGUUCAAAAUAAAAACAUUCGAUUGCCAAGACUCUCUAGAGAAAAUGGAUUUACUAGCUAGACAAAUAAAAUGAAGUUGUUUUAACAGGAAAGCUUUAUAGAUAGACGCAAUGGAAGGGAAAGAAUCAAUCAUGUAUUAUUUGUCAAUGAUUUUGUCUAUCAAGCUAAUAUGAAGUUGUUUGAACAUGAAAGCUUUACAGAUAGAAGAAAUGGAAGAGAAAGAAUCAAUCAUGUAUUAUUUGUGAGUGAUUUUGUGUGUUUAUCAAGCCAAAUGACAUAAAAAAAGCACAAGAAGCAUAAAGUUGCACACAAAGGAACCCAAGAAGCAUUGUUAUCACGUUCAAGAAGCUGGUGGAGAGCGCAAAGCUCAGUGCGGGCUCUCUGGCGGAGUUGGAGGUGGGGACGGGAGGACAGCAGGGGAGCAACGGUUGGCUUCGCCAGACGCUAGGGAAGAGAGUCGAGGGAGCGCGGGGCAACUGAGGAAUUAUGUGUGUUUCGAAUAAUAGAAAACACGGGCACUGUGGUCGAACCUGUCGCCCACGUUCUGCCGAAAUUAUCAGCAGACGCCCCCGAAAUGCGACACCCAAACAAAAAAAGAAAAAAAUUCCGCGGCUUGGGGCAUCACUGCCUUCAUGGAGACUGUGGAGGACAUCAUCAUUGAAGAAAUAAUGAUCAAAGCCUUCAGGAUUUUUGCACCGUGAUUCCAUCUUGAGAAGUAAUUUCUGAGAAAGAAGUGACUAGGAGGGAGCCAGCCGGGGGAGGAGAAGCCUGUAGGAACAAAGGGGCGUGAAGGAGGGAUUUGGCCUGAGGGCGAGAGGAACCCUGGGGGAGUGAAGAGGCUAGGAGAAGGAAGUCGGCACAAGGAUGAGAAAAUAAGUUUAGCAACUCGCUUACAAGAAGCUGACAGAGGUUGAGAGAUGAGUUUAGCAACUCGCUUACAAGAAGCUGACAGAGGAUCCCAACGAUGAGGUUUUGUUGUCUGAUUUGGUGAUGCUCCAACAAAAGGAGAGAGGCAAGUUGAGCAAUUCGCCCGUUGGUGUGCCAAUUUGUUUUUCUGUUGCCGCCCAUAGUUAGCCGGUUGAGCAACCUGCAUAGGGAAUAGCCUUGGCUCCACUUUCAGAGAAAAGGGAGGCUACGGUUUAGCUACCGGCCUGUGGGAGCAAGUCUGCGAGCGUUCCACCGUUGUUUGGUGAGAACUUUUGGUCGUUCCGGAAGUCCUUGAUGAGGCAGUACUGGUUGCUGAUUUGCCACUGACAGGUGUCGCAGGGGAUUUUGUUCUCAGAGUAGCUGAGGGAGCUCCGACUUUUCGUCGUUCCGGUUGUCCGAGAUGGAUCGAGUCCUUGAUGAGGCAGUACUGGUCUUUGAUUUGCCACAGACAGGUGUCGUAGGGGAUUCUGUUCUCAGUGUAGCUGAGGGAGCUCCGACUUCGACACAUAGCAAUGGGAAGGCGGUCGAUGACCCACUCGGUACCCUAGAAGACCCUGAGGGGGCAACCGACGACCGACAGAGGUGAUCAUCUUCAUUUUCCCCCCUCUCGGAGGAGACGAUGGACUCCUUUGCCCUUGUCGUCAGUCUGCAGCAGGAGGCAAAGAUGAAGGAGCUCUAGAAAAAACCGGCGCCUCUACGACACAUGCACUUGGAGUAGCUGGCGGCUCUUCAAGCGGAGCUGGUCGACAUUCCGGCGGCCUACUCAGUUCUACAAUUCCAUGCCAAAGCUGAUGGUAUAGAUAAGUUUAAGUUUGAGGGGAGGGUGUUGUACCAAAAGCUGCUUAAGCAGGACUUAUCUUGGCUGAAGCAAUCGAGGAACCUUUUGUGAAAUAUUUCUUAUCUGAAUAAAAUUGUUUAAAACGGUACUCAUUUAA